rnacentral:rRNA from 1 species
GAUAAACGUUGGCGGCGUGCCUAAUGCAUGCAAGUCGCACGAGGGCUUCGGCCCUAGUGGCGGACGGGUGAGUAACACGUACGAAUCUGCCCGGAGGUGGGGGACAACUUCCCGAAAGGGAAGCUAAUACCGCAUACGGUCUACGGACCAAGGCCGAAAGGCGCCACCGGAGGAGCGUGCGGCGGAUUAGCUAGUUGGUGGGGUAACGGCCUACCAAGGCGACGAUCCGUAGCUGGUCUGAGAGGAUGGUCAGCCACACUGGGACUGAGAUACGGCCCAGACUCCUACGGGAGGCAGCAGCAAGGAAUUUUGCACAAUCGACGCAAGUCGGAUGCAGCAACGCCGCGUGGGGGAUGAAGGCUCUCGGGUUGUAAACCCCUUUUGCGAGGGAAGAAGAUCUGACGGUACCUCGCGAAUAAGUCACGGCUAACUACGUGCCAGCAGCAGCCGCAG